CUAAAAAGAGGAGUAUCAAGAAGUACAGUUUCAAGAAACCGGAUUUAACAAAACUAAGGGAGCUAGUAUCUCAAGUGGUUAGUCCAAAUGAUUUUCGAGAUCGUCAUGGGAGAUUACUUGACCUCCUCAAUGUGAAGAUUGAAGAAGGAAUCUUGGAGACUUUGGUACAAUUCUAUGACCCGGCUUAUCAUUGUUUUACUUUUCCCGAUUACCAGCUUGUCCCUACCCUUGAAGAGUACUCCUAUUGGGUUGGCUUACCGGUGACCAAAGGAGGACCCUUCAACGGCCUUGAACCCGCACCUAAGGCCGCAACCAUUGCAAAAGCCCUCCAUCUCAAACCCUCCGACUUAGUCCAUCCUCACUUCACCAUCAAGAACAAUUUCCAAGGCCUAACCGCUAAAUUCCUCUACCAAAAAGCCUCUGCCUUCGCGAAAGCCAAAAAACUUAUGCCUUCGAAUCUGUCCUUGCCUUACUCAUAUAUGGCCUCUUCCUGUUUCCCAACAUGGACAACUUUGUCGACCUCAAUGCAAUCAAGAUCUUCCUCACCAAAAACCCGGUGCCUACUCUCCUUGCGGACACCUACCACUCCAUCCACUAUAGAAACAUCCAAAAGGGUGGAACUAUUGUUUGUUGUGCACCUUUGCUAUACAAAUGGUAUGUUUCCCACUUACCCAAAUCAAUCUUCUCCAAGGCAAACACUGGGAAAGCCCUUUGGUCUCAGAGGAUCAUGCCUCUCACCCCGGCUGAUAUUAACUAGUUCUAUGUGAACACUGAAGUAAUCAUUGGCAGUUGUGGAGAAUUUGAGAAUGUGCCUCUUAUCGGUACAUGUGGAGGAAUUACUUACAACCCAACUCUUGCCAUGCGCCAGUACGGAUACCCCAUGAAAGGGAAACCUGACCAUCUUUCCUUAUCCGGUGAGUUCUACCUCAAUAGUGAAGAUCGUACAAACAUGAGAUUGAAGUUUGUACAAGCUUGGCACAUCGUUCGUAAGUUUGAUGGAAUCCAGUUAGGGAGAAAGCAGAGCUUUGUACAUCAAUCUUAUACACAAUGGGUUAUUGAUAGAGCUAUAGCUUUUGGUAUGCCCAACACCUUACCGAGGUUCUUAUCCUCAACCAUUCCAGAAAUACCUUUGCCCUUACCCCCGCAUACCAUGAAGGAGUACCAGGGGCGUUUAGCUGACGAAGAACGCGAAAAAUUCAUGUGGAAAUGGGAGUAUCAAAAAAGAGAUCAGGAAUAUGAUACUCUAACGGGCCUAUUAGAGCAAGAAGCUUGGGAGUCCCACAAGAAAGACAAAAUAAUUGCCAAGCUGAAAGGCUCCAUCAAAGAGAAGGAUGCUGCACUUGAUCAAAUUCCCGGGAGAAAGAGGAGGCGUUUGGAUCUCUUUGACGGUCCACAUUCAGAUUUCGAGGACUAGUCCACCUCAAGAGCUCAAGAAUCUCCCAGUUGUUUUUAUCUUUUAUGUUUUAACUUUUUGUUAUGUACUUUGUAGGUCUAUCCCUUGGCUUUGUUGUUAGAAAGGGAAUUAUCUUGUAGUAUGUAAAUUAUUCAAUGGAACUCUCAACUAUGAUAUUUACAAAAAUACUUUCCAUAAGUCCUUCGAUAAAAAAAUACGUCUAUAUUUUCGCAUAAACAUCAUGCAUCAUCCUGCAUUUCAUAGUCUCAAGUCAAAGUCUCACACAAACUUUCUUUUCCAGAGAGAGAAAAAGGUCAACUCAUUUCAAAAGGUGGCCCCACGUGUCAUCUACAAGUCAACCCGUACUCACUACACUAGAGCAAACGUAAAGAAGAAGAUGGAUUAUCUUGAGCAAGAAAAUCGGGUACUUCGUGAAGAAAUGACAGCCAUGCAGACUAAGAUGGACGAGAUGGCUGAAUUAAUGAAGACAAUGGCGGAAGCUCAGACUCAAGCUCAAGUACAGAUUCAAGCACAAGCGCAAGCAUUAGCACAAGUGCAAACUCAAGCUCAGGCCCUAACAGAGGCGCAGGCCCGAUCACAAGCACCUCCACUUCCUCCUCCUGUCAGAACUCAGGCCGAGGCAUCUUCUUCUUGGACACUAUGUGCUGACACUCCAACGCAGUCCGCUCCGCAACGUUCCACGCCUUGGUUUCCACCUUUCACUGCUGGGGAGAUAUUUCGUCCUAUCACUUGUGAAGCUCAGAUGCCCACUCACCAGUACACGGCUCAAGUACCCCUACCUGCCAUGAGGGUCACUCCAGCCACCAUGACCUACUCAGCACCUGUGAUACAUACAAUCCCGCAAACUGAAGAACCUAUCUUUCAUUCAGGGAAUGUAGAGGCUUACGAGGAAGUAAGCGACCUACGAGAAAAGUAUGAUGAACUACGCCGAGACAUGAAAGCCCUCCGUGAAAAAGGGAAAUUUGGGAAGACUGCGUACGAUCUCUGUUUGGUACCGAGUGUGCAGGUACCUCACAAAUUCAAGAUUCCAGACUUCGAGAAAUACAAAGGGAGUUCUUGCCCUGAGGAACAUCUAAAAAUGUAUGUGAGAAGGAUGCCUGCGUAUGCCCAAGAUGAUCAGAUUCUUAUUUACUACUUCCAAGAAAGCUUGACCGGCCCUGCUUCAAAGUGGUACACAAACCUAGACAAAACAAGGGUUCAAACUUUCCGUGACCUUUGUGAAGCUUUUGUGGAACAGUACAGUUACAAUGUAGACAUGACUCCGGACCGAAGUGAUCUCCAAGCCAUGACUCAGGGAGAUAAAGAGACGUUCAAAGAGUAUGCCCAACGGUGGAGAGACACCGCUGCCCAAGUCAGCCCACGAAUUGAGGAGAAAGAGAUGACCAAGCUCUUCCUAAAAACUUUGAAUCAUUUUUAUUACAAAAAGAUGGUCGGGAGUACACCAAAGAGCUUCGCGGAGAUGGUUGGUAUGGGAGUACAGUUAGAAGAAGGAGUCCGAGAAGGACGCUUAGUAAAGAAUACAACUCCUGCCAGUGGGACCAAGAAGACCGGGAACCAUUUCCCGAGGAAGAAAGAACAAGAAGUCGGUAUGGUGACUCAUGGAGGGCCUCAACAAACUUAUCCAGCCUAUCAACACAUUGCUGCCAUCACACCCACCUCUCACCCUUUUCAACAAACAAAUAACCAUCCUCAAAUACCGCAAUAUCCUCAAAUACCGCAAUAUCCUCAAAUACCACAAUAUCCUCAAUUCCCACAAAAUCCUUCACCACAAAAUACUCAACAACAAAAUUUCCAACAACAACCAUACCAACAACAACCAUACCAACAAUACCCAUACCAACAAUACCCUCAACAAAAUUUCCAACAACAACCUUAUCAACAACGCCCACAACAACCUCGACCACCAAGAAUGCCGAUUAACCCAAUACCAGUCACCUAUGCAGAAUUACUUCCCGGCUUACUCAAGAAAAACCUUGUCCAAACUAGAACAGCUCCUCCUAUCCCAGAAAAACUACCAUCUUGGUAUAGACUUGACCAAACUUGUGACUUCCAUGAAGGGGGCCGUGGCCAUAACAUUGAAACUUGUUAUGCCUUUAAAAGCACAGUGCAGAGGUUGAUCAAUGAUGGAAAAAUAACUUUCACAGACUCGGCGCCAAAUGUUCAAACAAACCCAUUGCCGAAUCAUGGUGCCGCAACAGUCAACAUGAUCGAAGAUUGUCAAAAGACUCGUCCCAUUCUGAAUGUUCAACAUAUCAGAACACCCUUGGUCCCGUUACAUGCCAAGUUAUGCAAAGUCGACCUUUUUGAGCAUGAUCAUGAUCUCUGUGAAAUAUGCCUUAUGAACUCCGGAGGAUGUCAGAAAGUAAGAAAUGAUAUUCAAGGGCUUCUAGACCGAGGAGAGCUUGUGGUCGAAAGGAAGUGUGAUGAUGUGUGUGUAAUAACUCCUGAAGGGCCUUUGGAGGUAUUUUAUGACAGUCGAAAGUCAACUAUCACCCCUCUGGUGAUCUGCUUACCGGGUCCACUGCUAUAUGCUUCUGAAAAAGCCAUUCCAUACAAAUACAAUGCUACCAUGAUUGAAGGGGGUCGUGAGGUUCCGAUACCGCCUUUGUCUAGUGUGGAUAAUAUUGUUGAAGACAGUAGAGUUCUGAGAAAUGGGCGCGUUGUUCCCAUAGUGUUCCCAAAGAAGAUUGAUGCUACAAUAAACAAGGAGGUUCGGACUAAAGAAGCUGGUAUCACAAAAGAAGUAGAUCAACCCAAUGGGGAUGGUACAAAAACAGAGUUUGAUGAGAUUCUCAAGUUAAUAAAGAAGAGCGAGUACAAGGUUGUUGACCAACUGAUGCAGACUCCAUCCAAAAUAUCCAUAAUGUCUUUAUUACUAAAUUCUGAGGCCCAUAAAGAUGCAUUGAUGAAGGUCUUAGAACAAGCUUUUGUAGAUUAUGAUGUAACGGUGGGUCAGUUUGGCGGAAUAGUAGGGAACAUCACUGCAUGCAACAACUUGAGUUUCAGUGAUGAAGAGCUCCCAGCAGAAGGAAGGAACCAUAAUCGGGCGCUGCAUAUAUCUGUGAACUGUAAGACCGAUGCUUUGUCAAAUGUGCUGAUGGAUACUGGAUCAUCUUUGAAUGUGUUGUCCAAAACAACUUAUGCCCAACUCGCUUACCAAGGCGCACCUUUGAGACGAAGUGGGGUAAUGGUGAAAGCUUUUGAUGGCUCGAGGAAGGAUGUCCUUGGAGAGGUAGUUCUACCAAUCACAGUUGGGCCACAAGUUUUACAAGUUAAUUUUCAAGUCAUGGACAUUCAAGCUUCGUAUAGUUGCCUACUGGGUCGACCCUGGAUUCAUGAGGCAGGGGCUGUAACAUCCACACUGCAUCAAAAGCUGAAGUUUGUGAAGAAUGGGAAGCUAGUAACUGUAAACGGAGAAGAGGCAUUAUUAGUGAGUCAUUUGUCAUCUUUCUCUUUCAUUGGGGCAGACAAAGUCGAAGGGACACCUUUUCAAGGGUUUACUAUAGAAGAUAAGAAUACCAAGAGGAAUGAAGCCUCUAUCUCUUCUCUAAGAGAUGCUCAGAAGGUCAUACAAGCAGGAGGGUCCACAAGCUGGGGAAAGCUGAUAGAGCUUCCAGAAAACAAGCACCGAGAAGGUUUGGG
rnacentral:lncRNA from 1 species